ACGUCCGCUACGCAGCGGGCCUUCCUCGCCUCACUCCCGCCUGCCAUCGCCUCCCUCUCCCUCCCGGCCGUCGACCUCUCCGACCUUGCCCGGUUGGUUUCGACACUAACGGGCAUUCUGUCCGGGCUCAGGGAGACGACGCGACUGGUGGCCUACGUUGCCGACCUGUUCGGCGUGGACUCGUUCGACGCUGCCGUGGUCGCCGGCGUGCCGAGGAGGUACCUGUUCUAUGCGGGGAACCUCCAAGGGAUUACGCUCAUGCUCCACCUCCCAGAGCUCGACGUCUCCAUGCCCGGCGAGUUCCAGGACCUCUCCGAGCCCGUCAGGCUGCCCGGUUGCGUCCCCAUCCCGGGGCCGGACAUCAUGUCUGCGCUCCAGGACAAGUCCGACCCCUGCUACCGGUGGAUGGUGCACCACGCCAGGCUCUACCGCGAAUCCGAGGCCAUCCUCGUCAACUCCUUCGACGCCGUCGAUCCGGACGCCGCCAGGGUGCUCUCUCACCCGGAGCCCGGGCGCCCUUCGGUUUACAAUAUCGGUCCACCGAUACGAGCCGACGCCAGCGACGAGCCGCGCGCCAUGUGCCUUGACUGGCUCGACCGGCAGCCGCCGAAGUUGGUCGUCUUCGUCUCGUUUGGCUCCGGAGGCGCGCUGCCGACGGAGCAGAUGCACGAGCUCACGCUCGGCCUGGAGCUUAGCGGGCAGCGCUUCCUGUGGGUGGUACGGAGCCCGAGCGACGAGGGGGCCGUCAACGCCAACUACUAUGAUGUCGAGAGGAAGAAGGACCCCCCGGCCUACCUCCCGGAGGAGUUUGUGGAGAGGACCAAGGGCGUAAGCCUCCUCGUGCCGUCGUGGGCGCCGCAGACGGGGGUGCUGGUUCACGAG
rnacentral:rRNA from 1 species